UCUCCUCUGGGGCUGGAGGGGGGAUAAGAGAGACCUGCAGCGUGUCUGCCUCAGCAGAGCUCUGGGGUGUCUGCACCAUGGCCUGGACCCCAUUCCUCCUCCUCACCCUCCUCCUUCACUGCACAGGGUCCCUCUCCCAGCCUGUGCUGACUCAGCCGCCCUCUGCAUCUGCCUCCUUGGGAGCCUCAGUCAAGCUCACCUGCACCCUGAGCAGUGGAUACAGUGACUACACCAUUGCAUGGCACCAGCAGCAGCCAGGGAAGGCCCCUGGGUACUUGAUGUGGAUUGAUGAUGAUGGAACCAAUGGCAAGGGGGACGGGAUCCCUGACCGCUUCUCAGGCUCGGGCUCUGGGGCUGACCGCUACUUGACCAUCUCCAACCUCCAGUCUGAGGACGAGGCUGAUUAUUACUGUCAGUCCUAUGACAGCAGUGAUAUUGCUCACAGUGACACGGGCAGAUGAGGAAGUGGGACAAAAACCUCAGCCUGCUUAAGGUCUUGUUCUAUGACAAUUUUCAGACUUUAAAAUAUGUACCAUAUAAACAAACUCUCCUUGGAAGCACAUUGGAUUUAAAAUCUUUCCACUCUAUAUUCCCUUCAACGGUUCUGAAGUCUCAGGAAAACUCAAAGCAAAAACAAACCCCUGUGCUGACCCUGAAAUGUUGCCUGUUUAUCUAAAUGUGCUAAACCCAGUGUCUGCUGGGCUGGUCUUGUUUUCUUCAAAGGUGGAA